rnacentral:tRNA from 1 species
GGUUAUGGCUCAGCAGUAGAGCGCUUGCUUCACACGUGCAAGGCCCUGGGUUCGAUCCUCAGCACCA